CAGAGGUCCCAAGCGUGUUCGGAUUCACUGGGCGUAAAGGGUGCGUAGGCGGUCGGGUAAGUCUGACGUGAAAUCUUCAAGCUCAACUUGGAAACUGCGUCGGAUACUAUUCGGCUAGAGGAAUGGAGGGGAGACUGGAAUACUUGGUGUAGCAGUGAAAUGCGUAGAUAUCAAGUGGAACACCAGUGGCGAAGGCGAGUCCCUGGACAUUUCCUGACGCUGAGGCACGAAAGCCAGGGGAGCAAACGGGAUUAGAUACCCCGGUAGUCCUGGCCCUAAACGGUGCUCGUUUGCUGUAAGAGGAAUCGACCCCUUUUGUGGCGAAGCUAACGCGUUAAACGUGCCGCCUGGGAAGUACGGCCGCAAGGUUA
rnacentral:rRNA from 1 species